AUUUGCUUUUGUGUUUUGGUUUGAGCUGCGGUUACAAAUUUGUGAUAUUUGAUUCGGUUAUCACAUGAGGUGGAGGUUAGUGUGUAGUGUUGGUUUUUAAAAGUAGAUCAAGCUUGGUGGUAGUUAUGGAGUUUUAGUUUGCAUAAAUGAUGAAGACGGUGAAAUGAAGAGACGUUUUGCAGAGAUGGUUUAAUGAAGAUGCGUGCUUGAAGUUACGGUUUUCGAGACAGUUUUGUGUUGUAAUAAAAUGUUUGGACUUUUUGUAACCCAAAAAAAAAAAAAAAGUUUGGGCUUUUUAAUAAAUGUUUGUUUUGGGUGUUUUUUGAGUUUUUUUUCUGUUGGGCUUGAUAGUGGCAGUGCUGUAAUUUAUUGGAACUUCAACACUAAUUUGUUAUUUAAUAAAUGGAUUUUGGGUGUGUUUA